rnacentral:rRNA from 1 species
UACGUAGGGUGCGAGCGUUAAUCGGAAUUACUGGGCGUAAAGCGUGCGCAGGCGGCUUUGCAAGACAGAUGUGAAAUCCCCGGGCUUAACCUGGGAAUGGCAUUUGGGACUGCAAGGCUUGAGUGCGGCAGAGGAGACUGGAAUUCCUGGUGUAGCAGUGAAAUGCGUAGAUAUCAGGAGGAAUACCGAUGGCGAAGGCAGGUCUCUGGGCUGACACUGACGCUCAUGCACGAAAGCGUGGGGAGCAAACAGG